AACCGCAUAGAGCCAAACGGGUGGAUCCGCAGAGUCGACCCGGGGAAUUCAGCCCGGCCGCCAGCGGCGCUCGCAAAGUUCGGAUCCGCAAGGACCGGGCCAGCGGGACGUCCGCGUGGCAGGGUGCACUUUCUCCGCGGUCGAGUGCUACGACCGGUUUCGAGGCGGUCAGAAGCCCGGCGGAAAGGUAGCGCCGCCCUUCGGGGUGUCGUGUUAUAGGCCGCCGCGGUGGACUCGCCGCGAGACCGAGGACGCUUGCCGCGCCGAGCGGUCCCGGGCCGUCUUGGGUGGUUCGACCUCGGCUGCACUGCUCCGCAGAGCACCGUAACCGCCGCCCUAGCACGGGUCCGGAGACUGCCGGCGCCUCGGGUCAGUAGCGAAU
rnacentral:rRNA from 2 species